AUUGAACGCUGGCGGAACGCUUUACACAUGCAAGUCGAACGGUAACGCGGAGAGAAGCUUGCUUCUCUCCGGCGACGAGUGGCGAACGGGUGAGUAAUACAUCGGAACGUGUCCGCUCGUGGGGGACAACCAGCCGAAAGGUUGGCUAAUACCGCAUGAGUUCUACGGAAGAAAGAGGGGGACCCGCAAGGGCCUCUCGCGAGCGGAGCGGCCGAUGACUGAUUAGCCUGUUGGUGAGGUAACGGCUCACCAAAGCAACGAUCAGUAGCUGGUCUGAGAGGACGACCAGCCACACUGGGACUGAGACACGGCCCAGACUCCUACGGGAGGCAGCAGUGGGGAAUUUUGGACAAUGGGCGCAAGCCUGAUCCAGCUAUUCCGCGUGUGGGAUGAAGGCCUCGGGUUGUAAACUCCUGUUGUUGAGGAAGAUAAUGACGGUACUUGACUAAGAAGCCCCGGCUAAAUACGUG
rnacentral:rRNA from 1 species